rfam:Ictidomys tridecemlineatus contig118461, whole genome shotgun sequence.
GGGAUUGUGGCUCAGUGGUAGAGCGCUCCCCUAGCACGGGUGUGACCUGGGUUCGAUUCUCAGCACCA